GACGAACGCUGGCGGCGUGCUUAACACAUGCAAGUCGAGCGGUAAGGCCCUUUCGGGGGUACACGAGCGGCGAACGGGUGAGUAACACGUGGGUGACCUGCCCUCAGCUCUGGGAUAAGCCUGGGAAACCGGGUCUAAUACCGGAUAUGACUCCAUGACGCAUGUUGUGGGGUGGAAAGCCUUGUGCGGCUGAGGAUGGGCCCGCGGCCUAUCAGCUUGUUGGUGGGGUGAUGGCCUACCAAGGCGACGACGGGUAGCCGGCCUGAGAGGGCGACCGGCCACACUGGGACUGAGACACGGCCCAGACUCCUACGGGAGGCAGCAGUGGGGAAUCUUGCGCAAUGGGCGAAAGCCUGACGCAGCGACGCCGCGUGAGGGAUG
rnacentral:rRNA from 1 species